rnacentral:rRNA from 1 species
GACGAACGCUGGCGGCGUGCCUAAUACAUGCAAGUAGAACGCACAGUUUAUACCGUAGCUUGCUACACCAUAAACUGUGAGUUGCGAACGGGUGAGUAACGCGUAGGUAACCUGCCUGGUAGCGGUGGAUAACUAUUGGAAACGAUAGCUAAUACCGCAUAAUAUUAAUUAUUGCAUGAUAAUUGAUUGAAAUGUUCAAUUGCAUCACUACCUGAUGGACCUACCUGGUAUUAGCUAGUAUGUGAGGUAACGGCUCACCUAGGCGAAGAUACAUAGCCGACCUGAGAGGGUGGUCGGCCACACUGGGACUGAGACAAGGCCCCGAAUCCCAAGGGAGGCAGCAGUAGGGAAUCUUCGGCAAUGGACGAAAGUCUGAACGAGCAAAGCCGCGUGAGGGAAGAAGGUUCUCGGAUCGGAAAGACCUGUUGUAAGAGAAGAACGGGUGGGAGAGUGGAAAGUUCACACUGUGACGGUAUCUUACCAGAAAGGGACGGCUAACUACGUG